GUGAAGCGGCAACAGCUCAAAUUUGAAAUCUGGCCUCACGGUCCGAGUUGUAAUUUGUAGAGGAUGCUUUUGGCGAGGUGCUUUCCGAGUUCCCUGGAACGGGACGCCAUAGAGGGUGAGAGCCCCGUACGGUAAGACCACCGAGCCUCUGUAAAGCUCCUUCGACGAGUCGAGUAGUUUGGGAAUGCUGCUCUAAAUGGGAGGUGUACGUCUUCUAAAGCUAAAUACCGGCCAGAGACCGAUAGCGCACAAGUAGAGUGAUCGAAAGAUGAAAAGCACUUUGAAAAGAGGGUUAAAAAGUACGUGAAAUUGUUGAAAGGGAAGCAUUCAUGACCAGACUUGGGCUUGGUUGAACAUCCGGCGUUCUCGCCGGUGCACUCUGCCAGUCCAGGCCAGCAUCAGUUUGCCCCGGGGGACAAAGGCGGUGGGAAUGUGGCUCCCCUCGGGGAGUGUUAUAGCCCGCCGUGUAAUGCCCUGGGGCGGACUGAGGAACGCGC
rnacentral:rRNA from 1 species